rnacentral:rRNA from 1 species
UGAGGAAUCUUGCGCAAUGGGGGAAACCCUGACGCAGCAACGCCGCGUGAGUGAGGAAGGUCUUCGGAUCGUAAAGCUCUGUCAGUUGGAAAGAAAUGUCUGAGAGUCAAUACCUUUCAGGCUUGACGGUACCAACGGAGGAAGCACCGGCUAACUCCGUGCCAGCAGCCGCGGUAAUACGGGGGGUGCAAGCGUUGUUCGGAAUUAUUGGGCGUAAAGAGCGUGUAGGCGGCCGGAUAUGUCAGAUGUGAAAGCCCCGGGCUUAACCCGGGAAGUGCAUUUGAAACUGUCCGGCUCGAGUAGGGGAGAGGGAAGUAGAAUUCCUGGUGUAGAGGUGAAAUUCGCAGAUAUCAGGAGGAACACCGGUGGCGAAGGCGACUUCCUGGCCCUAUACUGACGCUGAGACGCGAGAGCGUGGGUAGCAAACAG